rnacentral:lncRNA from 1 species
AAUUUGAUCCUUAAUGGGCUCAGUGACCCCUCAGUUAUUCAACAAACAGCUGUUGAUCAUCCACAAUGUGACAAAUAUAGUCACUGGGCUUGGAACCUCCAACCCCAAGAGGGCUAUAGCCACAUAUAUAAUUUCCCUAUGGAGGCUGGGCGCGGUGGCUCACGCCUGUGGUCCCAGCAUUUUGGGAGGCCGAAGCGGGCAGAUCAUUUGAGGUCAGGAGUUCGAGACCAGCCUGGCCAACAUGGUGAAACCCUGUCUCUACUAAAAAUACAAAAAUUAGCCGGUGCUGAUGGUGCACGCCUGUAAUCCCAGCUACUUGGGAGGCUGAGGCAGGAGAAUGGCUUGAACAGGGGAGGUGGAGGUUGCAGUGAGCCAAGAUCCAGCCACUGCACUCCAGCCUGAGCAACAGAGUGAGACUCCAUUAAAAAAAAAAAAAAAAGUUUCCCUAUGGUGUGACAAGUACACAGAUUAGGCAGGUUUACUGCUGCAUGAGUUCAGACAGAGCCCGUAUUCCAACUUUUAGAGACACACAAAGAUUUAAAGAAGAGAAGGUGAUACCUCUGUGGAAUCUUGAAUAGCUUAGGAGAGAAGUGGGCAUGACAUUCCAGGUGAAGGGAAGGGAUAAGCCAAGGCACAGAAGCAGCAUAGAGAUGAUCACUGGAGCAUGAAGUUCAAGGCAGAGAGUAAUGGAGCCUGGCACUUUGAAAGGGUUCUUGGCCCUAGGAACUCUCUCCCCCACCAUCUGAGCCACCUCAGCCCCUCUGUUCCUGAGAUUCCUUUUGGUGCUAUCUCAGCUCCUCUGAUUAUUCUAGCUGGAACCAAGGGC